rnacentral:rRNA from 1 species
GUAACACGUAGCCAAUCUACCCUAUGGACGGGGAUAACCUCGGGAAACUGAGGAUAAACCCCGAUAGAUCAUUAUGCCUGGAAUGGUUAAUGGUUCAAAUGAUUCGUCGCCGUAGGAUGGGACUGCGGCCUAUCAGCUUGUUGGUGAGGUAAUGGCCCACCAAGGCUAUUACAGGUACGGGCUCUGAGAGGAGAAGCCCGGAGAUGGGUACUGAGACACGGACCCAGGCCCUAUGGGGCGCAGCAGGCGAGAAACCUUUGCAAUGUGCGCAAGCACGACAAGGUUAAUCCGAGUGUUUCCUGCUAAAGGAAUCUUUUGUUAGUCCUAAAAACACUAGCGAAUAAGGGGUGGGCAAGUUCUGGUGU